rnacentral:snoRNA from 1 species
UGCCUUUAUGUGUUGCCCAUUCAUCCCCUCUGUGGUGACUGGGGUGUCAACUAAGGCAAACAGUAACAGCUGUAGUUGUUUGUGAAAUGAGAUUUUCAGUUUCUCAUCUUUAAAACAGCUGCAAGGACACUG